CAGCCGCCGCGGGAAUACGAAGGGGGCUAGCGUUGUUCGGAUUUACUGGGCGUAAAGCGCACGUAGGCGGAUCGUUAAGUCGGGGGUGAAAUCCUGGAGCUCAACUCCAGAACUGCCUUCGAUACUGGCGAUCUUGAGUCCGGAAGAGGUGAGUGGAACUCCUAGUGUAGAGGUGGAAUUCGUAGAUAUUAGGAAGAACACCAGUGGCGAAGGCGGCUCACUGGUCCGGUACUGACGCUGAGGUGCGAAAGCGUGGAGAGCAAACAGGAUUAGAUACCCCCGUAGUCCCUGUCUCUUAUAC
rnacentral:rRNA from 1 species